rnacentral:rRNA from 1 species
GAUAUUUUACAAUGGGGGCAACCCUGAUCCAGCGAUGACGCGUGUGUGAAGAAGGUGUUCGGAUUGUAGAGCACUUUAAGUUGGGAGGAAGGGCUUUAGGCUAAUACCCUGAAUUUUUGACGUUACAUACAGAAUAAGCACCGGCUAACUCUGUGCCAGCAGCCGCGGUAAUACAGAGGGUGCAAGCGUUAAUCGGAAUUAAUGGGCGUAAAGCGCGCGUAGGUGGUUCAGUAAGAUGGGUGUGAAAUCCCCGGGCUUAACCUGGGAACUGCUUUCAUAACUGCUGAGCUAGAGUACGGUAGAGGGUAGUGGAAUUUCCUGUGUAGCGGUGAAAUGCGUAGAUAUAGGAAGGAACACCAGUGGCGAAGGCGACUACCUGGACUGAUACUGACACUGAGGUGCGAAAGCGUGGGGAGCAAAC